CCUCUGCUGUCUGCUCCCAGUGAUCACGCUGCUCCAUCGAUCAUAUGAGCCUGGACCAUUUCGUGCUCUACCCACAAAGUGCUUCAAUAAACCCAGUCCACCAGCCUCAGGACAAGAAACACACAUUUAUUCAGAUUAUCAUCUGUUCAAAAUAAACUUUUUUUUUCCCCUCCUCUCAGUCUCCUGAAUGUGUUCUGUAUGUGAGUCACACACUUGGCUCCCAACAUGACAAAAACAGUUGCAUAUAACCAGCAACAUCAAAAUUUCAUUCUGUAGAGUGCAGGUCUGGACAUCAUCACUAGCCCAGACAUCUGCUCUGUCUUCUCUUCCUCCUUUUCAUUUGUCUUGCCAAGUGACAUCAUUGUAUAAUUUAACAAUGACUGAACAAUCAGUUUUGAAGUUAUGAGAACAUGCCACUAUAGGUUUAGUUCUGCAGGAUUAACUUUACUAAGUCUAAGUUUCAGCAGGAAAAUGGUUGCUAACAUUGUCAAAAUCAACAUGGAUGUCAGCAAAUUCACCUGGACAGCUCUAAAAUUAAUUUAUUCAGAACAUGAUGCAUUACUAAUUUAUCUGGCUAAAAACAAAGGUUUAAAUGUUUCAAUCUAUUGAACUACAGGGACACAUACGGGUAUUUUGUCAAGUUAUGUUUUGUACUUUUAUUGAUUUAAAACGUUUUUCAUUGGAAAGUUGAGACACAAAUGUUAAUACGGGAAGGUUAGAAAAGAAAGAAAAUAUUGGUAUUUUAUGGCCAAACA